rnacentral:rRNA from 1 species
AUUGAACGCUGGCGGCAUGCUUUACACAUGCAAGUCGAACGGCAGCGCGGGCUUCGGCCUGGCGGCGAGUGGCGAACGGGUGAGUAAUGCAUCGGAACGUGCCCAGUAGUGGGGGAUAGCCCGGCGAAAGCCGGAUUAAUACCGCAUACGACCUGAGGGUGAAAGCGGGGGACCGAAAGGCCUCGCGCUAUUGGAGCGGCCGAUGUCGGAUUAGCUAGUUGGUGGGGUAAAGGCUUACCAAGGCGACGAUCCGUAGCUGGUCUGAGAGGACGACCAGCCACAGUGGGACGGAGACACGGCCCAGCCCCCUAGGGGGGGCAGCGGUGGGGAAUUUUGGAAAAUGGGGGCAACCCUGACCCAGCCAUGGCGGGGGGGGGAAGAAGGCCUUCGGGUUGGAAACCGUUUUUGUUGGGGAAAAAAUCCUUUGGGCUAAUACCCCGGGGGGAUGACGGUACCGGAAAAAAAAGCACCGGCUAACUCCGU